GAUUGUUAUAUAAAGUCUAGCCUGCCCACUGAUUUAGUUUAAAGGGCCGCGGUAUAUUGACCGUGCGAAGGUAGCAUAAUCAUUAGUCUUUUAAUUGAAGGCUUGUAUGAAUGGUUGGACAAAAAGUAAGCUGUCUCAAUUAUAAUGAUUGAACUUAACUUUUAAGUGAAAAGGCUUAAAUAAAUUAAGGGGACGAUAAGACCCUAUAAAGCUUGACAAUAAUUUAAUUAUACUAUCAAUUGUUAGUAUAACUUGGUUUUAAUUAAGAUUUGUUGCGUUGGGGCGACGAGAAUAUAAUAGGUAACUGUUCUUAAAUAUUUAAUAACAAAUAUAAUUGAAAAUUAGUGUGAUCCUCUAUUAGCGAUUAAAAGAUUAAGUUACUUUAGGGAUAACAGCGUAAUCUUCUUUGAGAGUCCCUAUCGACAAGAAGGUUUGCGACCUCGAUGUUGAAUUAAGGUAUCCUUAUGAUGCAGCAGUUAUAAAGGAAGGUCUGUUCGACCUUUA
rnacentral:rRNA from 1 species